AUUGAACGCUGGCGGAAUGCUUUACACAUGCAAGUCGAACGGCAGCACGGACUUCGGUCUGGUGGCGAGUGGCGAACGGGUGAGUAAUGUAUCGGAACGUGCCCAGUCGUGGGGGAUAACGUAGUGAAAAUUACGCUAAUACCGCAUACGAUCUAUGGAUGAAAGCGGGGGACCGCAAGACCUCGCGCGAUUGGAGCGGCCGAUAUCAGAUUAGGUAGUUGGUGGGGUAAAGGCCCACCAAGCCAACGAUCUGUAGCUGGUCUGAGAGGACGACCAGCCACACUGGAACUGAGACAAGGUCCAGACUCCUACGGGAGGCAGCAGUGGGGAAUUUUGGACAAUGGGCUAAAGCCUGAUCCAGCCAUUCCGCGUGCAGGAUGAAGGCCCUCGGGUUGUAAACUGCUUUUAUACAGAACGAAAAGGUUUCCACUAAUACUAGGAGCUCAUGACGGUACUGUAAGAAUAAGCACCGGCUAACUACGUGCCAGCAGCCGCAGUAA
rnacentral:rRNA from 1 species